UUUAAAUUACAAUAUUUAUUAUAAUUUUUUUAAAAAACAAAAAUGUCUUCGGUGUAAAUGAACUUUCACCUUGUCCGAGUCAAAGUUCACUGCGCAUGUCAAACCACCACGUCACUCUGCGGAAGCGUCCGGGCGCAGACACUUUGGGAAGUUAGAUGUGGUUUUUACCCCCAAAACAUGACAGAGAAGUGAAAGAGAAAGCACUAUUUUCACGAUGACUUGGAGGAAGAGUUCUUUUUCACGACAGUGAAAGAUAAAUGUAUGUGUCCUAUUUGCGGGGCGACUAUUGCGUCGGCAAAGCGGCACAAUGUGGAGAGACGCUACUUUACCCACCGCAAAAGCUUCCAUGCUAACUAGCCACCUGGUAACACACAUAGACUGUAUGCGCAUUACGGACAGGAAAAGCCCCAAGGCAGCUUUGACGUCUACUUCGCGGCGAAAAGUUUCUUCGUGGAGAAAAAUGUACCAUUAGAAAAGCUUGUUUUAUUGACGACGCAUGGGGCUCCUCCAUGACGCGUCGCCAUGCAGGCUUCAUUGUACGAUGCAGAGGUGAUCCAGACUUCCCAACAUUCCUACAUUACCACUGCAUCAUUCACCAGCAGGACAUAUGUAUGUACAAAAGUGGCCGGAUUUAAUCAUGUGAUGACUCGUGUCAUGAAGAUCAUAAAUGGCUCCAAAGCCAAACAACCAGGACAUUGAAGGUGCUGCUGGAGGAGCUGUCAGCUGAACAUUGUGACCUGUUACUACACACAGAAACCCCAUGGAUCAGCAGGGGACCAGUUUUGCAGCGUUUUUUGUCACUGUUGGCCGAAAUCAAAAAGUUCAUGCAGUCCAAAGGGGACACCUUGCUGCUGGGGGACACUGAGUGGAUUCUUGCCUUUGCAUUUUUAACGGACAUCACUGGGAAACUGAACCAUCUGAACUGUGAGCUGCAAAGUAAAGAUGCAUCAGGCAGAAAACAUCUGCAAUCCAGUGGGCCUGAGGCGGGUAUCACUUUAACAUUUGCUCAAAGCAUCUUCACAUUCUUCAGUGGAAAAAGAAUAAUCCUGGAUGUUUGGACAAGCCUGGGACUGAAACGGUUCCAACUCUAGAUUCUGCUACACCCUCCUUGAAAACUGAAACAUAUCCAUGAGGCAGUCAAAGAGUUAUGAGAAGUGCAUCACG